AAAAGCUCAGCGUGUAAAUCUCCAUACGGUUUCCGCAUGUGAGAAUUGUAGCGUGUAGACGAGGUCACCAGCAGCGGCCUGAGGAUAAUUCGCCUGGGAUGGUGAAUCAUAGAGGGUGACAAUCCCGUCUGUGCCUCAGAGUCCGCUGUCGUACGGUGCUCGUUCUUCGAGUCGAGUUGCUUGGGAAUGCAGCUCUAAGUGGGUG
rnacentral:rRNA from 12 species